ACCUAUGGCCAUCGUAGUCUGAAAAUGCUUGAUCUCAGAAGCUAUUCAGACUCAGGCCUGGCUAGUACUUGAAUAGGAGACCAACUAGUAACCUCGGAUGCUAUAAGCU